rnacentral:snRNA from 1 species
GUGCUCACUUUGGCAGCACCUGUACUAAAAUUGGAAUGACAUAGAGAAGAUUAGCCUGCCCCUGCACAAGGAUGACAUGCAAAUUCAUGAAGGGUUACAUAUUUAA